rnacentral:tRNA from 1 species
GUUCCUGUAGUGUACUGGUUAUCACGUCCGCCUCACACGCAGAAGGUCUCAAGUUCGAGCCUUGCCAAGAACA